rfam:Pluralibacter gergoviae strain JS81F13 contig_64, whole genome shotgun sequence.
CAGGCCAGAAGAGGCGCGUUGCCCAGGUACGGUGUUUGAGAAGCCGGUUCGACGAAAGCACCUGAGGGGGAGCAACGCCGAGGUGAUUAAACGUCCUGGCGCGUUAAUCACCGGCUACAGGGGCUGAAUCCCCUGGGCUGUCACCAGAAACGUUCCCAGUCGGGCGUUUCGCAAGGUGGAGCACUUCUGGGUGA